UUGGUUUAUGUCAUUCUCCCAUGUUUAUACCUGUGGUCGAACCUUCUGCAGAAUUUGCAUGUGCUGAUGAAUGGGCCUUUCCCCAGCAACAAUAGGUGGAGGGGUCAGAAACAAUGGUAGAGACCACCCCUUCACGCGCAAGCUCCCCAAGGAGAUUUAGGUGGAGAUGAAGGAGGGAAUCAGCAACAAAACAAAGAGCAGAUGACACACCUGAUGUCAAUGAUCAACACCAUGGAAUGUUGAACAAUGGAGGCAUAGUGUUUGUGGAGUCAGCAGAUGUCACCAAGCAAGAGCUGUCAAUUUGACAUAUUGACAGACUUAGGUACAAUUUGUAGCAUCUUGUAGAUAGUCCUAGAUUUAGGUGCAAGAAUUCUGGGCCUGGUAUGGUGUAAUGACUCUUUGUAAUGUACUUAUGGUGUAAUGAUAUUGUUUCUCUCAA